GUUGCUGGAGGUAUCAGAAGUGCGAAUGCUGACAUAAGUAACGAUAAAGCGGGUGAAAAGCCCGCUCGCCGGAAGACCAAGGGUUCCUGUCCAACGUUAAUCGGGGCAGGGUGAGUCGACCCCUAAGGCGAGGCCGAAAGGCGUAGUCGAUGGGAAACGGGUUAAUAUUCCCGUACUUGGUGUUACUGCGAAGGGGGGACGGAGAAGGCUAUGUUGGCCGGGCGACGGUUGUCCCGGUUUAAGCGUGUAGGUGUGUGUUCCAGGUAAAUCCGGUUCACUUUAACACUGAGGCGUGAUGACGAGGCACUACGGUGCUGAAGCAACAAAUGCCCUGCUUCCAGGAAAAGCCUCUAAGCAUCAGGUAACACGAAAUCGUACCCCAAACCGACACAGGUGGUCAGGUAGAGAAUACCAAGGCGCUUGAGAGAACUCGGGUGAAGGAACUAGGCAAAAUGGUGCCGUAACUUCGGGAGAAGGCACGCUGACACGUAGGUGAAGUGAUUUACUCAUGGAGCUGAAGUCAGUCGAAGAUACCAGCUGGCUGCAACUGUUUAUUAAAAACACAGCACUGUGCAAACACGAAAGUGGACGUAUACGGUGUGACGCCUGCCCGGUGCCGGAAGGUUAAUUGAUGGGGUCAGCGCAAGCGAAGCUCCUGAUCGAAGCCCCGGUAAACGGCGGCCGUAACUAUAACGGUCCUAAGGUAGCGAAAUUCCUUGUCGGGUAAGUUCCGACCUGCACGAAUGGCGUAAUGAUGGCCAGGCUGUCUCCACCCGAGACUCAGUGAAAUUGAACUCGCUGUGAAGAUGCAGUGUACCCGCGGCAAGACGGAAAGACCCCGUGAACCUUUACUAUAGCUUGACACUGAACAUUGAGCCUUGAUGUGUAGGAUAGGUGGGAGGCUUUGAAGUGUGGACGCCAGUCUGCAUGGAGCCGACCUUGAAAUACCACCCUUUAAUGUUUGAUGUUCUAACGUGGACCCGUAAUCCGGGUUGCGGACAGUGUCUGGUGGGUAGUUUGACUGGGGCGGUCUCCUCCUAAAGAGUAACGGAGGAGCACGAAGGUUGGCUAAUCCUGGUCGGACAUCAGGAGGUUAGUGCAAUGGCAUAAGCCAGCUUGACUGCGAGCGUGACGGCGCGAGCAGGUGCGAAAGCAGGUCAUAGUGAUCCGGUGGUUCUGAAUGGAAGGGCCAUCGCUCAACGGAUAAAAGGUACUCCGGGGAUAACAGGCUGAUACCGCCCAAGAGUUCAUAUCGACGGCGGUGUUUGGCACCUCGAUGUCGGCUCAUCACAUCCUGGGGCUGAAGUAGGUCCCAAGGGUAUGGCUGUUCGCCAUUUAAAGUGGUACGCGAGCUGGGUUUAGAACGUCGUGAGACAGUUCGGUCCCUAUCUGCCGUGGGCGCUGGAGAACUGAGGGGGGCUGCUCCUAGUACGAGAGGACCGGAGUGGACGCAUCACUGGUGUUCGGGUUGUCAUGCCAAUGGCACUGCCCGGUAGCUAAAUGCGGAAGAGAUAAGUGCUGAAAGCAUCUAAGCACGAAACUUGCCCCGAGAUGAGUUCU
rnacentral:rRNA from 1 species